CCGGCCGUCAGCCUCUGCAGCAUGGGGUUGAGGGUGCCGAUGAACAGAUAGUGUCUGAGCUGCAUCACCGACAACCAAAGGAGGUGCCACGCAAAGAACCUGGACAGCAAACACUCACGGAAACUCUUCACUGAGAGAAACCAGGGAAACAAAGAGGACACAAAAGAGUGGAGAGAAAGGGAUGGAAAAAUAUAGAGAGAAUUAGGACAUAUUGUUAACCUGACAGAGGUCAAAGGCCACAGCGGGGUCAGCAACAAACUGAGGGCGUUCAAGGAGUUUACUGUCAUGUAAAGCAGGCGUUGGUGUCGGUGCGGUCUGUCUGAGAUUCCUACCCGUACGUGUAGCGAUCAGGCAGCGGGUAGGGGAUGAAGUUUCUGGGCAGCAGGA